AUUGAACGCUGGCGGCAGGCUUAACACAUGCAAGUCGGGCGGGGUGAUGGUGGUUGCACUAUCACUUAGCGGCGGACGGGUGAGUAAUGCUUAGGAAUCUGCCUAUUAGUGGGGGGCAACAUCUCGAAAGGGAUGCUAAUACCGCAUACGUCCUACGGGAGAAAGCAGGGGAUCACUUGUGACCUUGCGCUAAUAGAUGAGCCUAAGUCGGAUUAGCUAGUUGGUGGGGUAAAGGCCUACCAAGGCGACGAUCUGUAGCGGGUCUGAGAGGAUGAACCGCCACACUGGGACUGAGACACGGCCCAGACUCCUACGGGAGAGAGCAGUGGGGAAUAUUGGACAAUGGGGGGAACCCUGAUCCAGCCAUGCCGAGUGUGUGAAGAAGGCCUUAUGGUUGUAAAGCACUUUAAGCGAGGAGGAGACUCUUUUGGUUAAUACCCAAGAUGAGUGGACGUUACUCGCAGAAUAAGCACCGGCUAACUCUGUGCCAGCAGCCGCCGUAA
rnacentral:rRNA from 1 species